rnacentral:lncRNA from 1 species
AUGUCAUUUAUAUUCUGUCUUACUAGCAGCAUUCCUCCACCUGUGUGUGAGAGAGACAUAGCAGAGAGAUUUAGCAGAGCUGUAAAUAUGGCUCCACGUCGACAUUCUUCCAGCUGCGGAGUCCGGUACACGGGAGAGAGGGAGAGAGAGAGGGGAGAAAGAGACGAAAUCACCUCACCAACACCGUCCGCGGCCUCAGGAAGGACGUCAAGUGCCAAAUUAACGCAGAAAAGCUUCGCUGGCUCUCACAGUCACGGCUGCCAUAUUUGGACACGGCGUUUUUAUUUUUUAUUUCUUGCUUUUUUGCAUUUUCUCUUUCGCCUCGUGCAGCCUGUAACGUGCCGAGUUGCAGAUGUGAGGUCCUGCAGCGAGAAGAUGAGAAGGCCCAUAAUGAAGGAGGUCUAGCGAGAGUCUUCUGUGGCUUUCCAAGUAAAGUUCUGUGAUACACUCUGACUCUUAAUUGUUUGCAGUCAGUGCAUUACAGAACUUUGUUUUGGGAGUUUAAAGCUCUGGCCUGGAGGGAACAAGCAUUACAUCUGGAGGGAGGGAUAACAACCCCCCAUACACACACACACAUUCACACAGACUCACACAUACACACAAGUCCCCCGACAGCACUUAGCUCCAUUCUCUCUCAGUGAUCACACGCAAAUAAAACAUUCAUGAUCAUUGUAAUUGUCUCCCUU